GCUUCGGUGGUAUAGUGGUAGAGCACGCGUCCCCGCAUAGGAUGAAAUGCUGGUUCAAUUUCCGCCUGAGGCC